rnacentral:rRNA from 1 species
GAUGAACGCUGGCGGCGUGCUUAACACAUGCCAGUCGAACGAGAAGUGAAGACGGAACCCUUCGGGCGGAAGGCUUUAUUUCGAGUGGCGGACGGGUGAGUAACGCGUGGGUAACCUGCCUCAUACAGGGGGAUAACAGUUGGAAACGACUGUUAAUACCGCAUAAGACCACAGCACCGCAUGGUGCGGGGGUAAAAACUCCGGUGGUAUGAGAUGGACCCGCGUUCGAUUAGCCAGUUGGCGGGGUAACGGCCCACCAAAGCGACGAUCGAUAGCCGAUCUGAGAGGAUGACCGGCCACAGUGGGACUGAGACACGGCCCAAACUCCUACGGGAGGCAGCAGUGGGGAAUAUUGCACAAUGGGGGAAACCCUGAUGCAGCGACGCCGCGUGAGUGAAGAAGUAUUUCGGUAUGUAAAGCUCUAUCAGCAGGGAAGAAAAUGACGGUACCUGAGUAAGAAGCCCCGGCUAACUACGUG